AGAACACGUAGGCAUCCAGCGUGGCAAGCUGAUGUGGCACAAGAAUCAGCCCGGUCCAAUUCGGUUUUCUACAUGGGCCUAGCCCAACAAUUCGGCCUUUUUAAUGUAUUUUUUUCCUGUGCUUUUAUUAGCUACAUGGGUCUGGCCCAACAAUUCAGCCUUAUUGAUUUCUUUGCGUGGCCCUUUUAACAACAGAUUUUCUUUUUGAUCAUGUAUUUUUCUGGGCCAUUUCUUUGUUGGGCCUCCCAUGUUUUUCCCUCAAACAUAAUUGUCCAAUAUAACUUGGGCCUAGCCCAAUUCCGAAAAAAUUGAUCCAAUCCAGAAACAAUUAUUAUGCCAUUGACAUUACAACACAUCACACCACAAGAUAUCUUGGGCCUAGCCUAGUUCUGACACAAUUUCAAAGCAACAUACAAUGUUAUUAUUACAACCAUUCAUUCCAGCAAUACUGUUUGAGGCUGGCUGGCUGGCUGAGCUACUACUGACUGACUGCGGGCUAACUCUAAGUUUUUACAAUAGGUGAAUCAGAAACCUAACGCUACUGCAUUUGCAUGGCGCUGCUGAAAUACUCCAGGAUCGUGAAAAAAAAUAGAACUAGCCUAUCUGGUACUUCACAGCAACCAAACAUGUAAUCUGCUUAAUGGAAAGAUUUCUUCUCCAAGUCCCGCUUCUCCCUUAGCAAUGACAGGUUGAUGCAAAACAUCUGAGCAUUCAAAAGAGAACAAAAGAAUAUGGCUAUUCAUCAAAAUUGGGAAUUGAAUUGGCACAUAUGACAAACUUAGCAGCAAACGAGCAAGGUGCAUGAUUCAAAGUUACAACAGAUCGAAGUUCCAUUUGAGUAUAAGGAAUAACAUUCAUAUUCAAUCAAUAGUACCUAUUAAACUACCAGGUGCAUGAUUGAAUUAAACAGACACUAGCUAUUCAUCUUGCCAUCUACUGUAACAGAGCAACUAUGUCAAAGUUAAUUCUGUGUAUGUCACAUGAUA